rnacentral:tRNA from 1 species
UCCCUGGUGGUCCAGUGGUUAAGACUUUGCCGUCCAGUGCAGGGGACCUGGGUUCAAUCCCUGGUCAGGGAA